AGUAUAGAGCACUGGCAAAAGUGGAAGAGAAGCAGAUAAAGGAAGGGAUUAUAGAGUUAGAUAGGUUUAUUGGAUUCAAACCCUCCCCUGAUUGCUUAGAAUUGAGAGGUUGGUUGUAUGUUGCACUUGAGGACUAUGACAGUGCAAUGAGAGAUAUUAGGGCACUGCUAACCAUUGAACCAAAUUACAUAACUUCACAUGGGAAGAUCAAAGGGGAAUACUUGCUCCAACUUCUAAACUGUGAAGUUCAGCAAAAGUGUCAGGCUGAUUGCUGGAUGCAGUUAUACCAACAAUGGUCGUGUGUUGAUGAUAUUGGUUCUUUGGCUAUUAUACAUCAGAUGUUAGACAAUGAGCCUGGAAAGAGUGUGCUACAGUUUCGUCAGUCUCUACUCCCAUUGAGGUUAGUAUAUCUACAACUCAACUAAAAAUAUCUCCUCUUUAACUUUAUUCUCACUGUGUUUAUUGUCACAUUGUCAAGGAUCCUUAGGACUUGAGUAUGAAUGUUUGACAAUGACUAGCUUGUUACAUUUACAA